rnacentral:rRNA from 1 species
AGGGGGCGAGCGUUGUCCGGAAUUACUGGGCGUAAAGGGUGCGUAGGCGGUUGCUUAAGUUGGAUGUGAAAUACCCGGGCUUAACUUGGGGGGUGCAUUCAAAACUGGGCGACUAGAGUUCAGGAGAGGGAAGCGGAAUUCCUAGUGUAGCGGUGAAAUGCGUAGAUAUUAGGAGGAACACCAGUGGCGAAGGCGGCUUUCUGGACUGACACUGACGCUGAGGCACGAAAGCGUGGGGAGCAAACAGGAUUAGAUACCCUGGUAGUCCACGCUGUAAACGAUGAAUACUAGGUGUGCGGGGACUGACCCCCUGCGUGCCGCAGUUAACACAAUAAGUAUCCCACCUGGGGAGUACGAUCGCAAGGUUGAAACUCAAAGGAAUUGACGGGGGCCCGCACAAGCGGUGGAGUAUGUGGUUUAAUUCGAAGCAACGCGAAGAACCUUACCAGGGCUUGACAUAUACAGGAAUACUUAAGAAAUUAGGUAGUCUUUCGAGACUUGUAUACAGGUGGUGCAUGGUUGUCGUCAGCUCGUGUCGUGAGAUGUUGGGUUAAGUCCCGCAACGAGCGCAACCCCCGCCGCGUGUUGCCAUCGGGUGAUGCCGGGAACCCACGCGGGACCGCCGCCGUCAAGGCGGAGGAGGGCGGGGACGACGUCAAGUCAUCAUGCCCCUUAUGCCCUGGGCUGCACACGUGCUACAAUGGCCGGUACAGAGGGAUGCCACCCCGCGAGGGGGAGCGGAUCCCGGAAAGCCGGCCCCAGUUCGGAUUGGGGGCUGCAACCCGCCCCCAUGAAGUCGGAGUUGCUAGUAAUCGCGGAUCAGCAUGCCGCGGUGAAUGCGUUCCCGGGCCUUGUACACACCGCCCGUCACACCACCCGAGUCGUCUGCACCCGAAGUCGCCGGCCCAACCUUUCGAGGGGGGAGGCGCCGAAGGUGUGGAGGGUGAGGGGGGUGAAGUCGUAACAAGGUAGCCGUACCGGAAGGUGCGGCUG